rnacentral:lncRNA from 1 species
CUCCCUUGGCCCCCGCCUGGUCCUGGAAGCAGAGCUGCGAGUUUCCCUUUUCUCUCGCUGUGCGCACUCGCAGCCCCGGUCCAAGCCCAGCCUCUCCAGGCAGGGAUUAGUGCAAGCGUCCGUUGGCCGGAACGAGCGAGGACAGCCUCUCCACCUCCCUGCCUCCCUACCUCCCUGCCUUCAGCACCCUCCCCUCUGCGGCUCCCCGACCCAGCCAUCCACAGCACAGCUGCCAGAAUCGCCUUUCCGUUCCACGGUUUUGAUCAUGUAACAUCCCCACUUGGAAGACCAGAGUGAGUCCCAGCGGCCUCAUAUGUCAGAUCUCAGUUUCUAACUAUGAGCAUCAAGGCCCUCCCCGAAGGCCCCCCAUCUUGCCUGCCCUGUCUCACCGGCCUUCUAUCCAAAAUCUUCCAGUGCAAAACUUCUGGUCAGAUUAUGCAGAACUUUAUAGCCUCUCCCUCCCCUACCCCACCACUUCGUCAUUCCGCAAGUAUUUAUUGAGCAUCUACAAGGUUCCAGGCACUGAACUAUGGGCUGCAAAUACAAAAACGAACAAAAGAAAUUAUCCUGCCCUUAACGACUUUACAGUCAAGUGAGGAGAACAGAAACAAGGAAAUUUUCUGGCUCCAGUUUGUCACUAAAACAACAUAGUUCACAUCUAAAUCUGAGCACAGCUAUGUAAAAUACACUAAUAAGCAGAUCGUGCACAGAUAAAAGACUGAAAUGAAAUGUACCAAAAUAGCUAUAGGAUAACUGUUUUCUUCCUUCCUUUUUUUUUAUUAUACUUUCAGUUUUAG